UACGUAGGUGGCAAGCGUUGUCCGGAUUUACUGGACGUAAAGAGCGCGCAGGCGGUCGUUCAAGUCGCGUGUGAAAGCCCCCGGCUCAACUGGGGAGGGUCACGCGAUACUGAUCGACUCGAAGGCAGGAGAGGGUAGUGGAAUUCCCGGUGUAGUGGUGAAAUGCGUAGAUAUCGGGAGGAACACCAGUGGCGAAGGCGACUACCUGGCCUGUUCUUGACGCUGAGGCGCGAAAGCUAGGGGAGCAAACGGGG
rnacentral:rRNA from 1 species